rnacentral:lncRNA from 1 species
UUGCAAUCGAAGGAUCCGCACGUCCUCUCGUCGGUUGCAUGGAUUUUUUAAUUUUCUCACGAAAAAGUGCGUUUAGUGUACACAAUUUAUGCGUAAUCUGUUACUAGUGCCCUGCUUAGCCUCCUGAAAAAGCGCGUUAUAUUAAUACUACAACACCACACACUCCUUCCCCACUCACACGAGCAUUGCUAGCUCUCUGUGUUGGUUAAUAAAAUUUCCUAAUUCAACAUUAGUGAAUUUCGUUAGCUGAUGCGGCUGGUUAACAGUGUUUUUGUCGGUGUGGAUCCCCGGCUUAAGAUGACUCCAGAGCGCGGCGCGGCCUUCCCCAAGAGAGGAGACUUCUUGGGUCACCCCCUAACCCUGAUGUUCGGGCAUCGAUGACCUGUGUAGCAUGCAGAGGUACCCAAGGGAGUCACCACCCUCUGAUUUACGAGCUAGGUGUUCUAAU